AUGGCCCCACAAGACUGAAGUCUUCUAUUUCUCUACAGAAUAAACAGUCUAGGCAGCAGCAGUGCAAGCACCCAACACAGCCCAGUCAAUGUGCCUCAGUCCUGUUCUGAUCUAGGAGUUAGAAUAAUUCAGUCUGUGGCUCUGAUUCUCCUCUCAC
rnacentral:sRNA from 1 species